CUCAUCUGCAUCCAUUUAACCGGCACCAAAGGAAAAAGAGUAAAAGCUACAAAGCGUGCACGUGUGCAAUGCCCGCUCUUGGCCCCCCCCCUCCACCUCCACGGACUCAGCCGCAGGCAGAAGCGCACUGGCACACGCACGCACAUGUUAGGUGUGUGUGCGUGCGUAUACGGUCCCCCUCCCCUCUCUCUUUCCCUCACUGCCAAGCUGCGCCCCCUCCCCGUCUUUCACAGCCUUCACAUGAGAGUGGUAGGAGGAGAGCGACACAACGGUGAAGAGAAAAUGGACGUGCGUGCGGGGGGGGGGGGGCACGAACUGCCCUCCCCGCAUUGGUGCAUGGCAUCCACUUGUGCCAGUGUUGUACGUGUGGAAUAAAAGUGCACACCAACACACACACACACACGCACGCACUCUUCGUUUUUUUUUUCAAGGGUGUCUCUUGCCGUUUGGCGUUACUGCUGCAUGUGUGAUUUAUGCCCGCGUAUGGGGCUCUUGUACUUCGUCGGCUGCUCGCCCUUCGCUCUCUCUUCACUUCUCACUGUCUACACCGUCGCGUUGCUCACAG
rnacentral:misc_RNA from 1 species